ACCGUGUUGACGGCGAAGCUCGCGCAGGGGACUGCGACAGAAGCGGCGGCGCUGGGCGAUGUGAAGACCGCGCUGGCGGUCGCGAUCCACGAGGCGCAGGCAGGGGACGGCGAGCUCUUCGCGGCCGAGGAGGGUCUGCGCUUCGGCGCGGCCUGUGCAGAGGCGGCGCUGGCCGGUCCGGUGACGGCGCGUGAGGAUCUCGCAGCGGCGCUCGGGUCGCGCCCGGUCAUCGCGCACGACGCCAAGGCGCUUGGGGGGGUUCCGGCGGUGCUCGCGCACGACACGCUGCUCGCUGCGUAUCUGCUCGAUCCCGCUCGGCGCGCCUUCCCGCUCGCCGAGCUCUGCGAGGAGCGUGGACUGCACUGUGAGCUCGACGAUCCGGCCGCCCGGGAGGCGGUUCUGGUGCAGGAGCUUGCACGGCUGCAGCGGCCGGAACUCGCCGAGCGUGGUCAGGAGCGG
rnacentral:tmRNA from 1 species